ACGGGUGAGUAACACGUGGGCAAUCUGCCCUUCACUCUGGGACAAGCCCUGGAAACGGGGUCUAAUACCGGAUAUCACUUCCACUCGCAUGGGUGGGGGUUGAAAGCUCCGGCGGUGAAGGAUGAGCCCGCGGCCUAUCAGCUUGUUGGUGAGGUAAUGGCUCACCAAGGCGACGACGGGUAGCCGGCCUGAGAGGGCGACCGGCCACACUGGGACUGAGACACGGCCCAGGCUCCUACGGGAGGCAGCAGUGGGGAAUAUUGCACAAUGGGCGAAAGCCUGAUGCAGCGACGCCGCGUGAGGGAUGACGGCCUUCGGGUUGUAAACCUCUUUCAGCAGGGAAGAAGCGAAAGUGACGGUACCUGCAGAAGAAGCGCCGGCUAACUACGUGCCAGCAGCCGCGGUAAUACGUAGGGCGCAAGCGUUGUCCGGAAUUAUUGGGCGUAAAGAGCUCGUAGGCGGUCUGUCACGUCGGAUGUGAAAGCCCGGGGCUUAACCCCGGGUCUGCAUUCGAUACGGGCAGACUAGAGUGUGGUAGGGGAGAUCGGAAUUCCUGGUGUAGCGGUGAAAUGCGCAGA
rnacentral:rRNA from 1 species